ensembl:lncRNA
AAGUAUUAGAGAAAAUGAGUUUUACAUAUUAUCCCUGAACUCGGCACGACGUGUUCCUUUCAUCUGAGUAAACCUGCAGCUUCUACUGUUUAUUUCCCAGAAAGGCGGCGUGUGGGUCCAACAGCCUACGCUCCAACAUUUAACUAACCCCACAACUACCACUUGCUAUAAACAACAAGCUUCAAAGUUCACUAUUUGUUUCUACAGACGCUUUCAGAGGCUCUGAGGAAUCCAAACUUCUCGCAGUCAGCCUGAUUUCAGCAGAUGGAGCCUCACAGCAGGACAGAUGUGAUCAGCUGUAAACCAGGCCGGGCUUUGGUUCUGAUACAGAACUUCUGAAGUUUGGUCAAGCGCACACAUACGGGAACUAAUAUAUUUAAACACAGUUUAAGGAAUUAGCGACUACACGAGCUGUAAACAUUUGUAUUAUUUAUUCCUCUGUUCUUUCAUAGCAGCCAAAUCCAACUGGUCACGUUAUUGAAAGGAAUGUAGAGAGUUUGUUCCUCUGCACGAAAGCGCUGCAGUCAGACCUAAUGAGCUGUUACAAAUCUGUGCAAACAAGAAAACGCACGCUGGCUGCUGUGGCCCAAACAAACGGCGCGUCGCAGCAGGUGCUGUGAUAUGAGACGACAUGGACCUGCGUCUGGGAGACGACCGCGGGACGCCCUGACAUCAGCCUCUGCAGCCGGAGCUGCGCUGAGCUGCUGGACUGAAGGCUUCUCUGACCUUAAGGCUUAGCGCUGGUUCAGGCUGCUUCGACAAGUAGGUCAGACAUGUUGAAAGCGUGCAGAGAGCUGCUAAGUGCAAAAACUCCGACAGACUUUAUUGCUUUAAUUAGUCCUUCUAAUGCUAUUGACCUGCUGUCUAAUGCAGCUCUGUAGCUAUUUAACAUCAAACAAUGAGAUAAAAAAGCAACAGGAUUUUAGAGACACAGUCAAGUCAAUGAAUUGGACUGAGGCUGAAUGAGAAGCAGUGUAAUUAGCGCUUUGUUGGUAAUUUUGCCAGCAGUACAGACACCAAUGUAUUAUUUAAACCUAAUUACAGUUGAGGCUGCGAGUCAUCGUUCUUCCUUUCAGGUGUUAUUAACGCUGAGCAUCCUUGAUGUGAAGCAGCCAGCGUCGACGGACAACGCGGCCGCGUGCGACCGUGACCUCGGAGGAAGAACGGAGAGAACGGAGGCCGUCGUCGGAGCAAUUGUCACAGAAAAUGAAGUUAUCCCACGUGAAGUUAUCCAUCUGACUCCAGUUAGAAUGGCGUGAGCUGGCAGUGGCUCCAGAGAGCGGGAUGCCGUCAUGCUGAUUUGCUGAUGGACCCCGAUAGAAGGUAAGAAAAGCAAAGCCUGGAUGUUCUCGUUGCUCUCUUGGAAGAACGAACUCCUCAGUGUUUGUGGGCUGAGGUCGCUGCCUCGCUGACGGCAGAGAAGCCCCAGAGGGACGCGCAUCUCUAGUGGUGUGUUUGAUGUGGGCGGAUGUGUGCAAGCAGCAUUAGAAGAGCCUGACUGGACAAUUGGAAAAUGUUUAUAGUCUUAAAGACUUUGGUUUUAACUGUGUUUAUUUCAUUUAGCUUCAGCGUUUCUGUUCAAUGGGAUUUUAUCCCAUACAGUAGAAAUUCAAGGCAGAUCCCGACGUCUGUGGCUGAUUUUAAAAUCAGAUGGUAUUUUUUUUUGUAUGGCACCUGUGAUUGACUGGCAGCACGACCAUAGCACAAUAGAGCAGCCAAAAAUAAGACCCAAUUUUCUAGUUCCCAGGCAAAUGGAGUGCGGAAAUGUAAAGCAGAUGGAAGAGUUGAGCUGUACCUCCUGCAUGAUGCUGUAACUUUUAAAAAGUGCAGUGAAAUUCAGCGAUGAUUAAUGGUUCCAGUUGCAAACGCCUGUAUGUACAGCAAGAUCCUGCUGCUGAAGUGUCAGAUUUUCCCUUUUUCCCCCUUAGUUGUGCAAAUUCUGAAGCUACAUAACACAGUGCCCAUCUGUCCUGCCUAUCACAAUCUUAAUUUGUAAGAGGUUUAUUCGGAUAUAAAUAGGAGAAGUGUGUUCUGCUGAAAGGACGCGUUCCCUUCAUGCCGUCUGUUUCAGGUUGCUUUUCUGUUUGUCUGCCCGUGAUUAAUCUUUGAAUGCCUGAAUAUGCGUUUGAUCAUUGUGCCAAAUGUUUGUCUGUAAGACUGUUUGUUGCAAGGCUUUGUUGUUUGUUAGCUGAGACACAAAGAGAGGAAAGCUGUCAAAGAGCAGAGGAAAUAUUUUCUUGCAGUAUUCCUCUAUAGCCACCAGAUAAAUAAUACAAAUAAAAUGCAGAUUCUUUCUUUUUCUUUUCA